rnacentral:rRNA from 1 species
AUUGAACGCUGGCGGCAUGCCUUACACAUGCAAGUCGAACGGCAGCACGGGUGCUUGCACCUGGUGGCGAGUGGCGAACGGGUGAGUAAUACAUCGGAACAUGUCCUGUAGUGGGGGAUAGCCCGGCGAAAGCCGGAUUAAUACCGCAUACGAUCUACGGAAGAAAGCGGGGGAACUUCGGGGCUCGCGCUAUAGGGUUGGCCGAUGGCUGAUUAGCUAGUUGGUGGGGUAAAGGCCUACCAAGGCGACGAUCAGUAGCUGGUCUGAGAGGACGACCAGCCACACUGGGACUGAGACACGGCCCAGACUCCUACGGGAGGCAGCAGUGGGGAAUUUUGGACAAUGGGCGAAAGCCUGAUCCAGCAAUGCCGCGUGUGUGAAGAAGGCCUUCGGGUUGUAAAGCACUUUUGUCCGGAAAGAAAUACUUGGCCCUAAUACGGUCGGGGGAUGACGGUACCGGAAGAAUAAGCACCGGCUAACUACGUG